rnacentral:rRNA from 1 species
UACGUAGGGGGCAAGCGUUGUCCGGAAUUAUUGGGCGUAAAGCGCGCGUAGGCGGCUUUGUAAGUUAGAGGUGAAAGCCCGGGGCUCAACCCCGGAAUUGCCUUUAAGACUGCAUCGCUUGAAUCCGGGAGAGGUGAGUGGAAUUCCGAGUGUAGAGGUGAAAUUCGUAGAUAUUCGGAAGAACACCAGUGGCGAAGGCGGCUCACUGGACCGGCAUUGACGCUGAGGUGCGAAAGCGUGGGGAGCAAACAGG